rnacentral:tRNA from 1 species
GCAUAGCUCAGUGGUAGAGCGGAUGGCUGUUAACCAUUAGGUCGCUGGUUCGAGCCCAGCUGC